CCUACGGGCUGCACCAGUGGGGAAUAUUGCACAAUGGGCGCAAGCCUGAUGCAGCCAUGCCGCGUGUAUGAAGAAGGCCUUAGGGUUGUAAAGUACUUUCAGUUGGGAGGAAGGCGUUGAUGCUAAUAUCAUCAACGAUUGACGCUACCAACAGAAGAAGCACCGGCUAACUCCGUGCCAGCAGCUGCGGUAAUACGGAGGGUGCAAGCGUUAAUCGGAAUUACUGGGCGUAAAGCGCACGCAGGCGGUUGAUUAAGUUAGAUGUGAAAUCCCCGGGCUUAACCUGGGAAUGGCAUCUAAGACUGGUCAGCUAGAGUCUUGUAGAGGGGGGGUAGAAUUCCAUGUGUAGCGGUGAAAUGCGUAGAGAUGUGGAGGAAUACCGGUGGCGAAGGCGGCCCCCUGGACAAAGACUGUCGCUCAGGUGCGAAAGCGUGGGGGGCAAACAGGAUUAGAUACCCGGGUAGUC
rnacentral:rRNA from 1 species